AUGUGGGUGGGCCUCCUUCUGGGGGCCGUGACCCUGCUGGAGUCCGGGGGGGACCUCCAGCCCCCCGGGGGGUCCCUGCGCCUCCUCUGCCGCGCCUCCGGCUUCGAUUUCGGGAAUUUUGGGAUGGGCUGGAUGCGCCAGAGACCCGGGCAGGGCCUGGAGUGGGUCGCGGGCAUCUACAGCGAUGGUGGCGACAGCAGAUACGCGCCGUCGGUGCGGGGCCGGUUCAGGAUCUCCAGGGACAACGGGCAGAGCUCGGUGACGCUGACCAUGAACGGCCUCAAGGACGAGGAUUCCGGCUCCUAUUUCUGUGCCAAAUCCUCUGGUGCCGGCGCCGGGUGUUGUUUCGCUGCUGAUUAUGUUGGCGGUGCCGGAGGUGUCCCCACCCCCACCUUUGUGUCCCCCCCUGUCCCCAGGUCCCCGACGCCGAAAUCCAGGGGCUGA